rnacentral:rRNA from 1 species
AUGCAGCUGCGAGAUGAUACUGAAGACGACACAGCUUCCGAACUGCUUGAAACUGUUUCUCUAAAUAAUGAAUGCAAAAAAUACGCUGAGGAAGCAAGGGAGCAGUACAAUGCAAGGAGGCGUGCAGCUUAUCGGAAGAAAAAUAAUGAGGAUAUUGUCAGCUUACAAGAUGAGAAUCAGCCGAUCAUAGGGAUCUUAUCAACGCUCGUAGGCGGGUGGCUUAUCGCAAUAACAAGUCAGAUGGUUCGGCUAACCAACAAGUCAAUGGGAAGUCAUCCCGUCCCCAGUCUCUAUGUGAUAUCACAAAUGUUCUCGAAGAUAGGGAGAUAA